GAUUCGGGUGGAUUACAAAUUCUCAUAGCGAAUAAAGUUGAGCAAUGUAUACAAUUUCAAAACUCAUCAAUAUCCCAAUAUUUCGUGUUGAUGUUGAUAUACUAUAAACCGGCGAUGGAUUUAUAAAUGAACUUGAAAUUACUUUUACUGGUCACUCCAGUUUAAACAGCGUGCCAAUUCUUUCGUGUUUCGUGUUGAAUAAACAAUGAUUAAGGCUCAUUUCUAUAUGGUUUACAUAUUUUACGUACAGAUAGCGAGUGCAUUAAAAAUAACAUUUAAGUCAGGAACAUAUAUUCCUUUGCAUGCGCAAUUUAACGUGCAACCAACACCGAGGUUAGAGUUCAAUGAAGACUUUGAGACUGCGUUCGCAUCGUUAACCAUACCGGACUAUAAAACAACAGAAGUAUUUGUGCCCAAAAUAGCCACUAACCCAACAAUCGAAACAGAACUGUUUACUCAGGAACACAGGGAUGAUAUGUUUUCAUCAGCUGAAAUUAUAAAACCAACUGCUAUUGAAAGUUUUCUUAGUUUGAAUUUCCCAAUGGCAACACAGGAAAUCGUAUAAAACUGUGAAGACUUCUUUUAAAACGAUGAAAUGGAAAAAUCAGUAGAUAGCCACAGCUUUUUGAGAUGCAUUUUGUAAUCAAUAUUCUACGAUAUCUUGUUUAAUUAAAAAUUUAUUU